rnacentral:rRNA from 1 species
CCUACGGGUGGCUGCAGUUUCGAAUCCUUCACAAUGGGCGAAAGCCUGAUGGUGCGACGCCGCGUGAGGGAUGAAGGCCUUCGGGUUGUAAACCUCUGUCACCGGGGAAGAAACGCUUCAAGUUAAUAGCUUGAAGCCUGACUUAACCCGGAGAGGAAGCAGUGGCUAACUCUGUGCCAGCAGCCGCGGUCAUACAGGGACUGCAAGCGCGAUUCGGGUUCACUGGGCGCAAAGUGUGCGAGGCGGGCCAGCCCGGGGCGUAACCCCGGAAUUGCACCUCAAACUACAUGGCUAGAGCAUUGGAGAGGGUAGCGGAAUUCACGGUGUAGCAGUGAAAUGCGUAGAUAUCGUGAGGAACACCAGAGGCGAAGGCGGCUACCUGGACAAUUGCUGACGCUCAGGCACGAAAGCGUGGGGAGCAAAAGGGAUUAGAUACCCGUGUAGUC